rnacentral:rRNA from 1 species
UACGAAGGGGGCUAGCGUUGCUCGGAAUCACUGGGCGUAAAGCGCACGUAGGCGGCUUGUUAAGUCAGGGGUGAAAUCCUGGAGCUCAACUCCAGAACUGCCCUUGAUACUGGCAGGCUUGAGUCCGGGAGAGGUGAGUGGAACUGCGAGUGUAGAGGUGAAAUUCGUAGAUAUUCGCAAGAACACCAGUGGCGAAGGCGGCUCACUGGCCCGGUACUGACGCUGAGGUGCGAAAGCGUGGGGAGCAAACAGG